CCGGGAUCCAUCUCCUGACUUCGUGAUCCGCCCGCUUCGGCCUCCCAAAGUGCUGAGAUUACAGACGUGAGCCACCGCGCCCUGCCUAUAUUAGGUUUUUAAAUAGCAGGAGGCAAAGCUUUUCGGUGUGAUCCUGACUUCACUUGGGGAAAAAGGGCAGACACAGGGUCUCACUGUGUUGGCCAGGCUGGAGUGCGGCAGUCUGGAACUCCUGGGCCCAAGUGAUCCUCCAAUCAGCCUCACAAAGCACUGGAAUUACAGGUAGCUCAGAGAGCUGCGCUGGAGGAGAAAAGCCAGUCCUGGCAGGAGCUCUGGUACCUGGGAAGCUGGAUGGAGAGCCUGGGCCAGAAUCCCGGACCCCUCACCUCUGCGGCCUAGCUUUGUGACCUUGGCAAAUCCAUUCUAUGCACCUCCAUUUCCUGUACAGUGGGGAUCCUUAUUUCUCUGGCACAGAUUGGUAUUUGUUCUGUAAAGCCCAGUACCACUUUAUUUUAUUUUAGUUAUUGAUUUUUUUGAGACAGGGCCUCACUCUGUUGCCAAGGCUGGAAUGCAGUGGCGAGAUCAUAGCUCACUGCAGCCUCAAACUCCUGGGCUCAGGCCAUCCUCCUGCCUCGGCCUCCUGAGUAGCUGGGACGACAGGCGUGCACCACUGCGCCUAGCUCCAGUACCAUGUUUAAACGGUGCUCAGAAAACGUGCUAAACUUGGUGGAUGGGAAUUGAAAAGAGAUUUAAUGUUUUAAAAAUCAAAGUCACUCAGCUGCAGUGCCACAUGGGAAGGAGGCCUGGAUGUGAAUGUUCCUGGGAGCUGAGAGCUCCUGUGACUGUCGCCAGUUUCCUGUGGUCUCCCACAGACUCAGGACAUCUCCCUCUGCUCCAGGACACCUCAGGACCACCAGAGGGCACUCAUCGCACCUUCACCCCUGGAAGGGAGCUGGUCCUGGGGCCAAAACCCACUGUGCCUGGGAAGCCCUUCCUGGCUUCUGCUCUCCUCAAUGUAUGACAGCCCUGAUUUACCCCCAGGGACUGUUGCCACUCGGGGUUGUAGAGUAAUAUGUAACCAGACUGGAGAACCACAGCAAUGCUCUCUCCUCUGCCCAUCACCUCCCCUUGGCCCCUCCCUCUUCAUCAGCCCCAUUUUGGAGAAGGGAGAAAGAAGGGAGAGGCAGCAGUCUCCUCCCAGGUGGGGCCGGACUCCAGGGAAGGAGAAUUUUCAGAAGUUGCUGGAGUUGCCGAAUCUGUCAGGGCCCAGGGUUCACAGAGCAGUGAUGGAGGAGAAAGGAGAGGAAGCAGAUCUAAGCACACAUGGGCAUCAAACCAGAGGAACAAAGUCACAUGCAGAGGGCUGCACAUAGACACAGGGAAACACACACACGGAGAUGCACAGAAACACGCAGACCCCAUGCAGGGACCUGCUUUCCCGCCACAGAGGAAAGCAAUCUGAUCAAACAGACCCACUGUGCACCCAGCCCUCCAUGCUUGGGGACAACACACCUACAAAAAUAUAAGAAAAAAAAGGAAAACUGCUCU
rnacentral:lncRNA from 1 species